UGGGGAAUUUUGGACAAUGGGGGCAACCCUGAUCCAGCAAUGCCGCGUGAGUGAAGAAGGCCUUCGGGUUGUAAAGCUCUUUUGUUGGGGAAGAAAAGGUGAUUUCUAAUACAGGUCACUGAUGACGGUACCCAAAGAAUAAGCACCGGCUAACUACGUGC
rnacentral:rRNA from 1 species